GGUCCCUCCCUUGGCAACCGAUUGGGAAGCUAACUUCAGCGUAGUAAAGUUACAUGUACCCAUAAACUGUAUUCAAAUAGCUAGCUAGCUAAACUAGCAGUGAGCUACUCAGACACUUAUCUAUAUUGUUACUUAUCUUAGGUUUAGCUAACGGCAUCAAGUUUACAUUAUGGAGGUUUUACGUCCAACUAUUAUCAAUUUAAAUGGAAGAAUGUACCGAAAAAAUAUCAUUAAGGAAGAACAUUAUGAGGAAGAAGAGGAUUUCUCCUACGUGGGGCAACAAGAGAGUGAAGACCUAGCAGAAGAUGAAACCUGUGAUACCCACUCAAUUGAUAAGACUGAUAAAGGAUACCGCUGUGCCAUUGAUGUCCCAAGUGUUCUUUACAAAUACAUCAUUGGGAAAAAAGGAGAGACACGCAGACGUCUAGAGUCUGACACAAAGACAUCUAUCAGCAUCCCCAAACAAGGAGUGGAAGGACAGAUUGUUAUCACAGGUUCCCAUAAAGCUGCAGUCUCGUCUGCAGUCACACGAGUUGAGGUCCUUAUCGAAAGUUUCCGGAGAAAGCAGCCUUUCACGCACUUCCUGUCAUUCCCUCUCAAUGAUCCCAAAGUUCAAGAAGGAUUCCUGCAGUUUAAAGACGAUGUGUUGCAGCAGUGUUCACAGGAUCAUGGAGUAGAGGGAAGCAUCUUUCAGAACCCUGCAAAGCUUCACCUGACAAUCGGCACCCUGGCCCUGUUAAAUGAGAUGGAAGUGAGAAAAGCGUGUGAGCACCUCCAAGAGUGUCAAAACUUCAUCAGGAACAUCACAGAAGGAAAACCUCUGCUGUUGGAGGUGACAGGUAUAGAGUACAUGAAUGAUGACCCAGCCAUGGUGGAUGUCUUGUAUGCCAAAGUCAAUGUGAAAGACAGAUCUGACAAGUUGCAGACGAUUGCAGACCAGCUGGUAGAGCACUUUGUCUCUAAAGGGCUGAUGGUCAGAGAGUGGGACAGAGUGAAGCUGCAUGGCACUGUGAUAAACACGCUGUUCAGAAAGGACUCCACAGUUGAAGACACAGGCGGCCCAGGAAGACAAACCAUGAGUGAAAGAGAGGCUUUUGAUGCAAGAAACAUAUUAAAGAAAUUUGGUGCUUAUCGUUUUGGAGAGUUUGAGCUGAACACUGUUCUGCUGUCCCAGAGAUAUUCGACAGACUGUACGGGCUACUACACCUCUGCAGGGAGCGUCAACUUCUCAUGAGCUGCCACAGAGCUGAGCCUAUUCUGAGAUUUGGAAGGUUGGUCGGACGUCACCUCUGACUUUUGGAAAUUGUGACAUUUUAUGUACUUAAAAAGGUCAUUGAUCAACAUGGGAGCAGGAAGUGAACAGAAAGUGUUCACCGGUUUUGGCUGAUGACAGAGCACUCAGCGGACAGUAAAGCACUUUGGGAAACCAGUUUCCACCAGAUGAUGAACAUGAAUGGAAUUACAACAAAGAGAUAUUUCAUCUUUGCUGAAUCUUUUGUUGAAAUGAGCUGGGGGAAAUUACCAUUUGUUUGGGUUGUUUUUUUCCUUCAUGGUGGCGGGAGGUGCUACAUUUUAAUAUUCUGUAUAAAUUUGACAGGAAUAAAUAACUGUGCAAAGCAUCCACCCUUGGCCUGUUGCAAUUAAUUGUUGUGUACUGGGAAUUCCUGAAGCGAU